rnacentral:misc_RNA from 1 species
AAUCAAUGCUUGGUUCCUGCCAGUUUGACGAGAAAGAAAGACAGACAUUCCAGAAGCUUCACUUGUGACCGUGACCGAAUCACAGAAAGAGAAGGAGUGAGGCGCUCUCAUUUCAUUCCCAGCCGCUUGUCUGAUAAUGAGGAAAGGAAUUCUACCUUUACCGAUUGGACUGGUUCAACAUCUUCACAGGACGCCCUACCAGUUGGCGCAAGGACUGCUUUUGCCCUGGGACCAAAGAACAAAGGGAAGCUCAGCUCUCACUACCAGUGAAUGAUGAAAUGCCUCGACUUAGAAACCACAGCCCUUCUGUCGAGAGGACAAAAUCAAUCCUUUUUAUCAAAAUAGAAGAUUAGGGAUGCCUUGCAGUUGAAGCCUCUGGGCUUAGCCCUACUAUGACCGAAGAAGACGAUUUACUAAAGAUAAAGAAAAAAAGACUCCAUGAG